rnacentral:lncRNA from 12 species
GGAGGGAAAACUGGAUUCCCACACAUCCUGCGGCCUUGGCAAGUGGCACACAUUGCAUGAGUCUGUGAAAAUAACUUCUACUGGGAAUAUGUGCCAUAAAUAAACAAAGACUGCUCAGAAAGUUAACAAGAAUGAAGGAAUGAGAGAGGAAGAAGAGAGGAUCCUUGAAGGGCAUUGCCUUGGCAGCGCUAACAGGGUGGUCAGACAUAGCAGAGGGGAAAGGACAGAGGAAGCCAGCUAGAGGAUGCAAGAGCCCCCAGGAAUCAGCCAAGAGUGUGAACAGGGUGGAUGGAAAAGAGACCAAGAAAAAAAAAUAAGUGGCUUAAUGACCCAACUCUACCCAGAGAAUGGAAAAUAAAAUGCAAGAUUCUAAACCCCGCCCUUCCAUUUCAUCUUCAUUUUUGAAAAAUUCAGAAAAAAAAAAUGAAGGAGAAACCUGACAGGUAAAUGAGCAUAGAAGCUGCUUUCGACCUGAAGGCAUACCAAUUUUCAGAAAAUUAAGACCUAUUCUUUACAGCCUCCUGCAGCAAGAGAGACAGAAAGCAAAGCACAGAGUAUUUUUGUUGGGAAAAGGUGGGCUGUUUUGCCUUCCUACCAUGGACGAGGAUCUUGAAGGAGAAACUUGGCAGAGCUUUUCCAUUCCCUGGGGCUUCGGCCAAGCAGUAGAGGAUGAAGGAGAACAUAUCUGCCAGAUGCUCUAGAUGCCACCAGGCAACCUCAGGGAAUGAGUGUACCAAGA